rnacentral:rRNA from 1 species
UACAGAGGUCCCAAGCGUUGUUCGGAUUCAUUGGGCGUAAAGGGUGCGUAGGUGGCGCUGUAAGUCGGGUGUGAAAUUUCGGAGCUUAACUCCGAAACUGCAUUCGAUACUGCGGUGCUCGAGGACUGGAGAGGAGACUGGAAUUCAUGGUGUAGCAGUGAAAUGCGUAGAUAUCGGGAGGAACACCAAUGGCGAAGGCAGCUCGCUGGGACGGUACUGACGCUGAGACGCGAAAGCGUGGGGAGCAAACAGG